CAUUCAGAUAACUCAGUAAUCUGUAGUCUUUCUCUUGGUGACAGUCUCAUCUCUUUGACCUGGGCUGCCAUGUCAAGGAUCAUCUCCUAAACUGGUUGCUCUUGUCAACUUCAUGUCAAGCGAGAUGUUUUUAAGAACCUUGUCACCUUCUUAAGGAUCCCGGCAGACAUUCUGGAUUCCAGAAUGUUUUGGGGACAAAGUUGAUGUUUGUCUGGAAACAAAAUAUGGGAUUGAAUCUAGUGGUCUUUCUUGAAUUUGCUGAUCCUCUGUUUGUCGUUUGAUCGGUUUAUAGCGACCAUUUCCGAGUCAUUGUCGAAUCCUUCAUCUAAGUAUAUCAGACCUUCUUUGACCUUUAAACCCUGCCCUCUUCUAAGAAGCUCUGCUUGCAUCCUCAGUCCUUGCUUGGUUAGAAAUGUUCUGAUAAUCCUGUCCAACGGAAACCAAUAUUUAUUGAGAAAUCAAAAGUUCACACGUUAUGAUAACGGCAUCCACCCCCAGGAACUGGCAACAUCUCAUGAGCUGCAUGUCAGGGCGUGUCUAAGCCAUAGCUUCUUCCGGGUGCAAGUGCAGGCAGGCACAUAUUUGCUCACGACUAAUAAAGAUUAAAAUGUAGCGAGAGGGAUGGAUCGACAGCAUGGCAGUGCUAGACAUGCGUUAAAAAACACGGAGCGUGUAGCGCAGAAGCAUAUGCUCUGUAACACCAUUACAUAACAGAUGUCCUACUGACUCUUUUGGAUGGGGGAUUAACAGAAUAAAAAAUGUGAAAGCUUUUACAAGCGGAUUAUUUCACAUUUUCAGCUCAUCUGGCCUCUCUCCUCCUAUUCAUGACGACAAACGUGACCCACAUUUAUGACCUGGGCACCCUAGUACAGGUUCACUUCGCUGGCCUGCAUGUGGUCAUCAGGACACCUCUCAGAGUGAAAACUUCUCACUGCUGCAGGCUUUUCCGUCAAAACACAGCACAGGGAUUUGCCACAAUCUAAAUACAUGUUACGAAAUGUGAGACUGCAAAAGUCUGAGGUAGUCAAAGAAAAUGAUGCAUAAAUGAUCUUCAGCUUGGUAUAAAACUACGAUAUUAUGUCUGUAAAAGUGCAUUAGUUUAACCAUUUCAAAACAUCUCCAAAAGUCACCCCAGAAUUUGCAGCAACCAUCCAAUACACCCAUAUAUUUUUCUACUUGACCACAGCUCACCUCCUAUGGCUAAUCAAUACCUCAUUGACUUUUUUAAACAAUUAAAUUAAUUAAUUAAGUGAGCUUGUGAUGAAAUUUAACAAGUACAUCGAAUGGCUUAAGUGCACCCAGAGGAGAGGUUUGGGAACUGAAGCAGUGCUCUUUUCAUCAUCCAGCAAGAUAUCAAUAACUUUUUGGAGAACAAUAGAAAUUGCUGUUAGUUUUUAUUGUGCUAUUUGUGUGUAUUUUUCUGUGCAAAUAUACAGUUACUACCCAGAUAAAUAGCUUUAAAUUUCAUACUUUCUGCAUUGAAUUUUCUUUUGCUAUCAAACAAUUGCUUUACUGACAGACUAGCGUUAUUCAGAAGUACUGCAGCCUUCUUAAACGGAUUUGUUAUUCAAAAACUCUUCAUACUCUUCACUGUCUUGCCUUAAGAUGAGCAAUCAAAUUUGUCGUGAUGUUGAAAUGUGUAUUAGUAUAUCCUCCUUAUAAAAUUUUUGCAAAGCCAUGUUUGCAAAAUGCAUGUGUGACGCCAUUUUCGCUAACCAAAUUAUUCCACACGGCACUAACUGUUUAAUAAACAGGUGUGCAAAGCAUUAUGGGUCACCAUUUUAAAAGGAAUUGUGUGUGAUUAAUAUCAGCUCAUUUUCAACCAUCGACUGAUUGGCUGAUACUGAUAGUUGGCCAAUAAAAUCGGUGCACCUCUACUGCCUAUUGGUUACUAGCUACCAGAUGUCCCCCCACUAACGAAUCAAUGCUGAGCAUAGCCUAUGAUAAGCAUCUCAAAUAAACAAAAAUACAUAUGGCCUCACAAGAUGCACCAUGUUUCAUGCAAAGAAGGGAUGGGUGAUACCACUAGACAAUAUAUCGGUGAAAAUAUCAGUAUCGGGACGUUAUUCAUUAAAAAUCAACAUACUGGCAUCGGACUGAUGUGUCGAUUUUGGCCAAUAUUUAAACUUUAUCAGUGUUCAAAGUUAGCACCUCCAGAGAUAAAGACGCUCCUACAAUGAGAUGAUUGCACUGGAUGAUCAGCCAGUGGAGGAUAAGAGAUCUCGUUGGCUCUUUCACCACUUAGAAGAGGCUUCCUUCUGGUGCCGAAAACACCCAAACGGCCGAGUACCUGGCCGUCGUGAGAGACGGUUGCUGUAUAACUGAAGGAAGAUACGGUCUCUAACUCGGUGACUCCAAAAAAAGAAAAAAAAAGCAAGAGCCCGGAAAACGUGAUUAUGAAAAUCUUUGGAAACUUCUAUGAGAUUUUAUGGUGGUGAUGUAAUUUUACUUUGCAAUAUAAAUCUAAAGAAGGACAUGAAGACAAACUCCACAUAGGAGCUUAUCAGCGACCUCUCGGUCCUGGUCUUACCGCCACCGCCUCCAGAAUCUGCUUGAUAACGUGAGCAGCGUCCCUCUCGCUGUAGUAUCCUCUUUCCA